GACGAACGCUGGCGGCGUGCUUAACACAUGCAAGUCGAACGGAAAGGCCCUGCUUUUGUGGGGUGCUCGAGUGGCGAACGGGUGAGUAACACGUGAGUAACCUGCCCUUGACUUUGGGAUAACUUCAGGAAACUGGGGCUAAUACCGGAUAGGAGCUCCUGCUGCAUGGUGGGGGUUGGAAAGUUUCGGCGGUUGGGGAUGGACUCGCGGCUUAUCAGCUUGUUGGUGGGGUAGUGGCUUACCAAGGCUUUGACGGGUAGCCGGCCUGAGAGGGUGACCGGCCACAUUGGGACUGAGAGACGGCCCAGACUCCUACGGGAGGCAGCAGUGGGGAAUAUUGCACAAUGGGCGGAAGCCUGAUGCAGCAACGCCGCGUGCGGGAUGACGGCCUUCGGGUUGUAAACCGCUUUCGCCUGUGGCGAAGCGUGAGUGACGGUAAUGGGUAAAGAAGCACCGGCUAACUACGUG
rnacentral:rRNA from 1 species